CAGUCGCCGCGGUAAUGCGAAGGGUGCAAGCGUUAAUCGGAAUUACUGGGCGUAAAGCGUGCGUAGGCGGUGAGUUAAGUCUGCUGUGAAAUCCCCGGGCUCAACCUGGGAAUGGCGCUUGUGACUGCAAAGCUAGAGUGCGGCAGAGGGGGAUGGAAUUCCGCGUGUAGCAGUGAAAUGCGUAGAUAUGCGGAGGAACACCGAUGGCGAAGGCAAUCCCCUGGGCCUGCACUGACGCUCAUGCACGAAAGCGUGGGGAGCAAACAGGAUUAGAUACCCGGUAGUCCCUGUCUCUUAUACC
rnacentral:rRNA from 1 species